rnacentral:rRNA from 1 species
GCGCAGCAGUCGAGAAACUUUACAAUGUGCGAAAGCACGAUAAGGGAACUCUGAGUGCCUCCUAAGGAGGCUGUUCAGGUGUCUAAAAGCACCUGAAGGAAGGGCUGGGUAAGACCGGUGCCAGCCGCCGCGGUAACACCGGCAGCCCAAGAGGUAGCCACGUUUAUUGGGUCUAAAGCGUCCGUAGCCGGCUGGGUAAGUUCCUUGGGAAAUUUGGCUGCUUAACAGUCAAGCUUUCAGGGAAUACUGCCCGGCUUGGGACCGGGAGAGGUCAGAGGUACUCCAGGGGUAGGGGUGAAAUCCAUUAAUCCUUGGGGGACCACCGGUAGCGAAGGCGUCUGACCAGACCGGGUCCGACGGUGAGGGACGAAGGCUAGGGGCGCGAACCGGAUUAGAUACCCGCGUAGU